rnacentral:rRNA from 1 species
UAGGGCGUUUAGUAUUUGGUCGUAGACCCGAAACCAGGUGAUCUACCCUUGGUCAGGUUGAAGUUCAGGUAACACUGAAUGGAGGACCGAACCGACUUACGUUGAAAAGUGAGCGGAUGAACUGAGGGUAGCGGAGAAAUUCCAAUCGAACCUGGAGAUAGCUGGUUCUCUCCGAAAUAGCUUUAGGGCUAGCCUCAAGUGAUGAUUAUUGGAGGUAGAGCACUGUUUGGACGAGGGGCCCCUCUCGGGUUACCGAAUUCAGACAAACUCCGAAUGCCAAUUAAUUUAACUUGGGAGUCAGAACAUGGGUGAUAAGGUCCGUGUUCGAAAGGGAAACAGCCCAGACCACCAGCUAAGGUCCCAAAAUAUAUGUUAAGUGGAAAAGGAUGUGGCGUUGCCCAGACAACUAGGAUGUUGGCUUAGAAGCAGCCAUCAUUUAAAGAGUGCGUAAUAGCUCACUAGUCGAGUGACACUGCGCCGAAAAUGUACCGGGGCUAAACAUAUUACCGAAGCUGUGGAUUGUCCUUUGGACAAUGGUAGGAGAGCGUUCUAAGGGCGUUGAAGCAUGAUCGUAAGGACAUGUGGAGCGCUUAGAAGUGAGAAUGCCGGUGUGAGUAGCGAAAGACGGGUGAGAAUCCCGUCCACCGAUUGACUAAGGUUUCCAGAGGAAGGCUCGUCCGCUCUGGGUUAGUCGGGUCCUAAGCUGAGGCCGACAGGCGUAGGCGAUGGAUAACAGGUUGAUAUUCCUGUACCACCUAUA